UCCGGCCGGGAACUCAAAGGAGACUGCCAGUGAUAAACUGGAGGAAGGUGGGGAUGACGUCAAGUCAUCAUGGCCCUUACGACCAGGGCUACACACGUGCUACAAUGGCGCAUACAAAGAGAAGCGAACUCGCGAGAGCAAGCGGACCUCAUAAAGUGCGUCGUAGUCCGGAUUGGAGUCUGCAACUCGACUCCAUGAAGUCGGAAUCGCUAGUAAUCGUGGAUCAGAAUGCCACGGUGAAUACGUUCCCGGGCC
rnacentral:rRNA from 1 species